GAGGGCAUAGUUCAGUGGUAGAGUGUGUGCCUAGCAUGCACGAGGUCUUGGGUUCAAACCCUGGUACCUCUA
rnacentral:tRNA from 1 species